rnacentral:rRNA from 1 species
GUACUGCCAGACUUGGAACCGGGAGAGGUAAGAGGUACGUACAGGGGUAGGAGUGAAAUCUUGUAAUCCCUGUGGGACCACCUGUGGCGAAGGCGUCUUACCAGAACGGGUUCGACGGUGAGGGACGAAGCUGGGGGCACGAACCGGAUUAGAUACCCGGGUAGUCCCAGCCGUAAACGAUGCUCGCUAGGUGUCAGGCAUGGCGCGACCGUGUCUGGUGCCGCAGGGAAGCCGUGAAGCGAGCCACCUGGGAAGUACGGCCGCAAGGCUGAAACUUAAAGGAAUUGGCGGGGGAGCACAACAACGGGUGGAGCCCUGCGGUUUAAUUGGACUCAACGCCGGACAACUCACCGGGGGCGACAGCAAUAUGUAGGCCAAGCUGAAGACUUUGCCUGAAUCGCUGAGAAGUGGUGCAUGG